AGGUGAGUCAUCGAAUCUUUGAACGCAUAUUGCACUCUUUGGUAAUCCGGAGAGUAUGCCUAUUUGAGGGUCAUUUAAAGGAAAAAAAAUGGGUAUUCCAGAUUUUUAUGGUUACUUAAAAUACAAGACACGCUCAUUUCUUUGGGUUACUUUAUUUACGUGUAACUUUCGAGAGAUAUGCUAACGUGUUGUAUUUUGCAAAAACGAAGAGAAUUUGUUUCUGCAAAAUAAAUAAAUUAAAUCUUGACCUCAAAUUAGGUAGGAGUACCCGCUGAACUUAAGCAUAUCAAUAAGCGGAGG
rnacentral:misc_RNA from 1 species